rnacentral:rRNA from 1 species
UACGGGGGGGCAAGCGUUGUUCGGAAUUACUGGGCGUAAAGGGCGCGUAGGCGGCCUUCUAAGUCGGACGUGAAAUCCCUCGGCUUAACCGAGGAACUGCGUCCGAUACUGAAAGGCUUGAAUCCGGGAGAGGGAUGUGGAAUUCCAGGUGUAGCGGUGAAAUGCGUAGAUAUCUGGAGGAACACCGGUGGCGAAGGCGGCAUCCUGGACCGAGAUUGACACUGAUGAGCGAAAGCUAGGGGAGCAAACGGG